rnacentral:rRNA from 1 species
GAUGAACGCUGGCGGCGUGCCUAAUACAUGCAAGUCGAGCGAACAGACGAGGAGCUUGCUCCUCUGACGUUAGCGGCGGACGGGUGAGUAACACGUGGAUAACCUACCUAUAAGACUGGGAUAACUUCGGGAAACCGGAGCUAAUACCGGAUAACAUGUUGAACCGCAUGGUUCAACAGUGAAAGACGGUUUUGCUGUCACUUAUAGAUGGAUCCGCGUCGCAUUAGCUAGUUGGUAAGGUAACGGCUUACCAAGGCAACGAUGCGUAGCCGACCUGAGAGGGUGAUCGGCCACACUGGAACUGAGACACGGUCCAGACUCCUACGGGAGGCAGCAGUAGGGAAUCUUCCGCAAUGGGCGAAAGCCUGACGGAGCAACGCCGCGUGAGUGAAGAAGGUCUUCGGAUCGUAAAACUCUGUUAGUAGGGAAGAACAAAUGUGUAAGUAACUAUGCACGUCUUGACGGUACCUAAUCAGAAAGCCACGGCUAACUACGUG